UACCACCCUUAGGCCUCAUGCAUGGACUCAACGAAUUCGCUCUCUUGCAAACUGGGCAGGAAGGACGUUGGGAAGGAAACUCUUUGAUAUUUACAAUAAUUUUAUGGUUAAUAAUGAUAGCAAUUUACUUUGGAAUAUUGAUGCUAUUUCAAAGAACUAUAAAACAAAGAGCAAUUGGGGGUCAAGUGUCGUGGAAAUCGAUCAUUUUCAAGAAAGCAGAG
rnacentral:misc_RNA from 1 species